rnacentral:rRNA from 1 species
GAUGAACGCUGGCGGCGUGCCUAAUACAUGCAAGUCGAGCGAACGGACGAGAAGCUUGCUUCUCUGAUGUUAGCGGCGGACGGGUGAGUAACACGUGGAUAACCUACCUAUAAGACUGGGAUAACUUCGGGAAACCGGAGCUAAUACCGGAUAAUAUUUUGAACCGCAUGGUUCAAAAGUGAAAGACGGUCUUGCUGUCACUUAUAGAUGGAUCCGCGCUGCAUUAGCUAGUUGGUAAGGUAACGGCUUACCAAGGCAACGAUGCAUAGCCGACCUGAGAGGGUGAUCGGCCACACUGGAACUGAGACACGGUCCAGACUCCUACGGGAGGCAGCAGUAGGGAAUCUUCCGCAAUGGGCGAAAGCCUGACGGAGCAACGCCGCGUGAGUGAUGAAGGUCUUCGGAUCGUAAAACUCUGUUAUUAGGGAAGAACAUAUGUGUAAGUAACUGUGCACAUCUUGACGGUACCUAAUCAGAAAGCCACGGCUAACUACGUGCCAGCAGCCGCGGUAAUACGUAGGUGGCAAGCGUUAUCCGGAAUUAUUGGGCGUAAAGCGCGCGUAGGCGGUUUUUUAAGUCUGAUGUGAAAGCCCACGGCUCAACCGUGGAGGGUCAUUGGAAACUGGAAAACUUGAGUGCAGAAGAGGAAAGUGGAAUUCCAUGUGUAGCGGUGAAAUGCGCAGAGAUAUGGAGGAACACCAGUGGCGAAGGCGACUUUCUGGUCUGUAACUGACGCUGAUGUGCGAAAGCGUGGGGAUCAAACAGGAUUAGAUACCCUGGUAGUCCACGCCGUAAACGAUGAGUGCUAAGUGUUAGGGGGUUUCCGCCCCUUAGUGCUGCAGCUAACGCAUUAAGCACUCCGCCUGGGGAGUACGACCGCAAGGUUGAAACUCAAAGGAAUUGACGGGGACCCGCACAAGCGGUGGAGCAUGUGGUUUAAUUCGAAGCAACGCGAAGAACCUUACCAAAUCUUGACAUCCUUUGACAACUCUAGAGAUAGAGCUUUCCCCUUCGGGGGACAAAGUGACAGGUGGUGCAUGGUUGUCGUCAGCUCGUGUCGUGAGAUGUUGGGUUAAGUCCCGCAACGAGCGCAACCCUUAAGCUUAGUUGCCAUCAUUAAGUUGGGCACUCUAAGUUGACUGCCGGUGACAAACCGGAGGAAGGUGGGGAUGACGUCAAAUCAUCAUGCCCCUUAUGAUUUGGGCUACACACGUGCUACAAUGGACAAUACAAGGGGCAGCGAAACCGUGAGGUCAAGCAAAUCCCAUAAAGUUGUUCUCAGUUCGGAUUGUAGUCUGCAACUCGACUACAUGAAGCUGGAAUCGCUAGUAAUCGUAGAUCAGCAUGCUACGGUGAAUACGUUCCCGGGUCU